GGGACAGGACAGGACAGGUAGGACUAGAGGGACAGGACAAGUAGAACUAGAGGGACAGGACAGGUAUGACUACAGGGACAGGACAGGACAGGUAUGACUACAGGGACAGGACAGGUAGGACUAGAGGGACAGGACAGGUAGGACUAGAAGGACAGGACAGGUAGGACUAGAGGGACAGGACAGGUAGGACUAGAAGGACAGGACAGGUAGGACUACAGGGACAGGACAAGUAGAACUAGAGGGACAGGACAGGUAUGACUACAGGGACAGGACAGGACAGGUAUGACCACAGGGACAGGACAGGUAGGACUAGAGGGACAGGACAGGUAUGACUACAGGGACAGGACAGGACAGGUAUGACUAGAGGGACAGGACAGGACAGGUAUGACUACAGGGACAGGACAGGUAGGAUUAGAGGGACAGGACAGGUAUGACUACAGGGACAGGACAGGACAGGUAUGACUACAGGGACAGGACAGGUAGGAUUAGAGGGACAGGACAGGUAUGACUACAGGGACAGGACAGGUAGGACUACAGGGACAGGACAGGUAGGACUAGAGGGACAGGUAUGACUAGAGGACAGGACAGGAGAGGACAGGACAGAUAGGACUACU